GUGGGAGUAGCUCAGCUGGUAGAGCGUCGGUCUGUGGCACCGAAUGUCGCGGGUUCGAUCCCCGUCUCCCACCCCA
rnacentral:tRNA from 2 species